rnacentral:rRNA from 1 species
CAGCCGCCGCGGGAAUACGUAGGGUGCGAGCGUUAAUCGGAAUUACUGGGCGUAAAGCGUGCGCAGGCGGUUCGUUAAGACAGAUGUGAAAUCCCCGGGCUUAACCUGGGAACUGCAUUUGUGACUGACGGGCUAGAGUAUGGCAGAGGGGGGUAGAAUUCCACGUGUAGCAGUGAAAUGCGUAGAGAUGUGGAGGAAUACCGAUGGCGAAGGCAGCCCCCUGGGCCAAUACUGACGCUCAUGCACGAAAGCGUGGGGAGCAAACAGGAUUAGAUACCCCCGUAGUCCUGUCUCUUAUACA